rnacentral:rRNA from 1 species
AGUGAACGCUGGCGGUAGGCCUAACACAUGCAAGUCGAACGGCAGCACAGUAAGAGCUUGCUCUUACGGGCGGCGAGUGGCGGACGGGUGAGGAAUACAUCGGAAUCUACUUUUUCGUGGGGGAUAACGUAGGGAAACUUACGCUAAUACCGCAUACGACCUACGGGUGAAAGCAGGGGAUCUUCGGACCUUGCGCGAUUGAAUGAGCCGAUGUCGGAUUAGCUAGUUGGCGGGGUAAAGGCCCACCAAGGCGACGAUCCGUAGCUGGUCUGAGAGGAUGGACAGCCCACAUGGAACUGAGAAACGGUCCAGAACCCUAAGGGAGGGCGGAGGGGGGAAUAUUGGGAAAAUGGGGGAAAGCUUAACCAGCCAUACCGCGUGGGUGAAGAAGGCCUUCGGGUUGUAAAGGCCUUUUGUUGGGAAAGAAAAGCAGCAGGUUAAUACCCCGCUGUUCUGACGGUACCCAAAGAAUAAGCACCGGCUAACUUCGUG